rnacentral:rRNA from 1 species
UACUCCUACGGGAGGCAGCAGUAGGGAAUCUUCCACAAUGGACGCGAGUCUGAUGGAGCAACGCCGCGUGAGUGAAGAAGGCUUUCGGGUCGUAAAACUCUGUUGUUGGAGAAGAAUGGUCGGCAGAGUAACUGUUGUCGGCGUGACGGUAUCCAACCAGAAAGCCACGGCUAACUACGUGCCAGCAGCCGCGGUAAUACGUAGGUGGCAAGCGUUAUCCGGAUUUAUUGGGCGUAAAGCGAGCGCAGGCGGUUUUUUAAGUCUGAUGUGAAAGCCCUCGGCUUAACCGAGGAAGUGCAUCGGAAACUGGGAAACUUGAGUGCAGAAGAGGACAGUGGAACUCCAUGUGUAGCGGUGAAAUGCGUAGAUAUAUGGAAGAACACCAGUGGCGAAGGCGGCUGUCUGGUCUGUAACUGACGCUGAGGCUCGAAAGCAUGGGUAGCGAACAGGAUUAGAUACCCUGGUAGUCCAUGCCGUAAACGAUGAAUGCUAGGUGUUGGAGGGUUUCCGCCCUUCAGUGCCGCAGCUAACGCAUUAAGCAUUCCGCCUGGGGAGUACGACCGCAAGGUUGAAACUCAAAGGAAUUGACGGA